rnacentral:rRNA from 1 species
UACGUAGGGUGCAAGCGUUAAUCGGAAUUACUGGGCGUAAAGCGCACGUAGGCGGCUUUGUAAGUUAGAGGUGAAAGCCCGGAGCUCAACUCCGGAACUGCCUUUAAGACUGCAUCGCUUGAAUCCAGGAGAGGUGAGUGGAAUUCCGAGUGUAGAGGUGAAAUUCGUAGAUAUUCGGAAGAACACCAGUGGCGAAGGCGGCUCACUGGACUGGUAUUGACGCUGUGGUGCGAAAGCGUGGGGAGCAAACAGG